rnacentral:rRNA from 1 species
UGCAGUCGAACGGUGAAGCCAAGCUUGCUUGGUGGAUCAGUGGCGAACGGGUGAGUAACACGUGAGCAACCUGCCCUGGACUCUGGGAUAAGCGCUGGAAACGGCGUCUAAUACUGGAUAUGAGCUCUCAUCGCAUGGUGGGGGUUGGAAAGAUUUUUCGGUCUGGGAUGGGCUCGCGGCCUAUCAGCUUGUUGGUGAGGUAAUGGCUCACCAAGGCGUCGACGGGUAGCCGGCCUGAGAGGGUGACCGGCCACACUGGGACUGAGACACGGCCCAGACUCCUACGGGAGGCAGCAGUGGGGAAUAUUGCACAAUGGGCGGAAGCCUGAUGCAGCAACGCCGCGUGAGGGAUGACGGCCUUCGGGUUGUAAACCUCUUUUAGCAGGGAAGAAGCGAGAGUGACGGUACCUGCAGAAAAAGCGCCGGCUAACUACGUGCCAGCAGCCGCGGUAAUACGUAGGGCGCAAGCGUUAUCCGGAAUUAUUGGGCGUAAAGAGCUCGUAGGCGGUUUGUCGCGUCUGCUGUGAAAUCCCGAGGCUCAACCUCGGGCCUGCAGUGGGUACGGGCAGACUAGAGUGCGGUAGGGGAGAUUGGAAUUCCUGGUGUAGCGGUGGAAUGCGCAGAUAUCAGGAGGAACACCGAUGGCGAAGGCAGAUCUCUGGGCCGUAACUGACGCUGAGGAGCGAAAGGGUGGGGAGCAAACAGGCUUAGAUACCCUGGUAGUCCACCCCGUAAACGUUGGGAACUAGUUGUGGGGACCAUUCCACGGUUUCCGUGACGCAGCUAACGCAUUAAGUUCCCCGCCUGGGGAGUACGGCCGCAAGGCUAAAACUCAAAGGAAUUGACGGGGACCCGCACAAGCGGCGGAGCAUGCGGAUUAAUUCGAUGCAACGCGAAGAACCUUACCAAGGCUUGACAUACACCAGAACACCGUAGAAAUACGGGACUCUUUGGACACUGGUGAACAGGUGGUGCAUGGUUGUCGUCAGCUCGUGUCGUGAGAUGUUGGGUUAAGUCCCGCAACGAGCGCAACCCUCGUUCUAUGUUGCCAGCACGUAAUGGUGGGAACUCAUGGGAUACUGCCGGGGUCAACUCGGAGGAAGGUGGGGAUGACGUCAAAUCAUCAUGCCCCUUAUGUCUUGGGCUUCACGCAUGCUACAAUGGCCGGUACAAAGGGCUGCAAUACCGUGAGGUGGAGCGAAUCCCAAAAAGCCGGUCCCAGUUCGGAUUGAGGUCUGCAACUCGACCUCAUGAAGUCGGAGUCGCUAGUAAUCGCAGAUCAGCAACGCUGCGGUGAAUACGUUCCCGGGUCUUGUACACACCGCCCGUCAAGUCAUGAAAGUCGGUAACACCUGAAGCCGGUGGCCCAACCCUUGUGGAGGGA